rnacentral:rRNA from 1 species
AUUGAACGCUGGCGGCAGGCCUAACACAUGCAAGUCGAGCGGAUGAAGGGAGCUUGCUCCUGGAUUCAGCGGCGGACGGGUGAGUAAUGCCUAGGAAUCUGCCUGGUAGUGGGGGAUAACGUCCGGAAACGGGCGCUAAUACCGCAUACGUCCUGAGGGAGAAAGUGGGGGAUCUUCGGACCUCACGCUAUCAGAUGAGCCUAGGUCGGAUUAGCUAGUUGGUGGGGUAAAGGCCUACCAAGGCGACGAUCCGUAACUGGUCUGAGAGGAUGAUCAGUCACACUAGAACUGAGACACGGUCCAGACUCCUACGAGAGGCAGCAGUGGGGAAUAUUGGACAAUGGGCGAAAGCCUGAUCCAGCCAUGCCGCGUGUGUGAAGAAGGUCUUCGGAUUGUAAAGCACUUUAAGUUGGGAGGAAGGGCAGUAAGUUAAUACCUUGCUGGUUUGACGUUACCAACAGAAUAAGCACCGGCUAACUUCGUG